rnacentral:rRNA from 1 species
GUCUUUUUGAGCUAUUUUUAAAGUCUAACCUGCCCACUGAAUUUUUAAAUGGCCGCAGUAUUUUAACUGUGCAAAGGUAGCAUAAUCAUUAGUCUUUUAAUUGGAGGCUGGUAUGAAUGGUUGGACGAGGUAUUUACUGUUUCAUAUAUAUUUAUGUUAGAAUUUUAUUUUUUAGUUAAAAAGCUAAAAUAAUAUUAAAAGACGAGAAGACCCUAUAAAUCUUUAUAUUUUGUAUAAUUUAAAUUUUUUGGUUUUAUUUUAUUUUUAUUAUAUGAAAUAUUUUGUUGGGGUGAUGUUAAAAUUUAAGGAACUUUUAAUUAUUUAGAAUCAUUAAUUUAUGUUUUAUUGAUCCAUUAAUAGUGAUUAUCAGAUUAAGUUACUUUAGGGAUAACAGCGUAAUUUUUUUGGAGAGUUCAUAUCGAUAAAAAAGUUUGCGACCUCGAUGUUGGAUUAAGAUAUAAUUUUGGGUGUAGCUGCUCAAAUUUUAAGUCUGUUCGACUUUUAAAUUCUU